CGUCAGCCACCGCGCCCGGCCUAUAAUUUUUUUUUUUAACUCCUUCACUGUUGUUGGCAGAAUUUAGUUUCUUCCUGUUACAAGGAUUGAGGUCGCCAUUUCCUUGCUGGUAGUCACCUGAGGACUGUUCCCAGAUUCUAGAGACUGCCUGCAUACCUUGGCUUAUCACCUUCCACUGCCUGCAUACCUUGGCUUAUGCCCUUUCUCCUGCAUCUUCCAAGCCAGCAAUGGUAGGGAAGAGGUAACCAUCCAUCACGGUUUUCCCAGAACAGGCUGAUUUGCGUCUUCUGUCCUGGCAUAAGGAUCCCUUCACUCUCGGAAGUGUUCCGAUUUCCUACAUGUGUGCUGCACUGGGACCAGUCACGCAGAAAGACUGGCUAGACUUUCAGUCUCGGGAGAAUAGAUCCAAGCAUAAGUGGUAAAUUUGAAGGUGGCUUGGUUAAUGCUAAGUCAACCUGGAUAGUUUAAUUGCCAGGAAAUAGGGAGGUAAAACCAAGUCGAAGAGUUGUCUAUUGACAAUGGGACCAGGAUCAACGACCCCUGAGAUUUCCAGGAGUCAAUAUAGUUUCACAUCAACAGGAGUUAAGAAUCGUAUCCUUGGAGAUUACGUGGCGCCAAAAGAGCGAAGGUGGGAAGUUCAGCGUUAAAGAGUCUCUCCAGCCUGGAGAAUGAGCAGCAGUUCCUAAAGGAUUAUGCUAUCUUCUGAUCAACUUUUGACAUUUGACUUAAAAUUUUAAACUUGCAUAAGUAAUUGCAUGCACACAAUAAAAUAUUCAAAAGGUUCAAACAGGUGUAUAAUGAAAGGGAAGUCCUUCUCCAAGCCCUCAGUUAUCUUCCUCAGAAGAAACCACUGUCCCAGCAGCUCUGAAUCCCCCUUCCAGAGAUAUUCCCUGUGCCUGAGCACAGUGCCUGUGUAUAAUUACAACUGUUUAAUAUACAAAUUGUAUCUUACUGGUUUGCUCUUUCUUUUCUAUUUAACAGUGUGUCUUUGAGUUCAUUUUUUAUCCCCAUUCAUUUUAAUGGCUUCUGUUACCUUUUUAUCUGGUGGUUGGGGCUGUCAG
rnacentral:lncRNA from 1 species